GCCCGAGUGGCGGAAUUGGUAUACGCGUUCGACUUAAAAUCGAAUCUCGUAAGGGAUGUGGGUUCGACUCCCACCUCGGGCA
rnacentral:tRNA from 1 species